ensembl:lncRNA
ACUAAUGCCAAAUAAAUACUGUAGGGAAAUUAGAAUCUGAUAUAAACAAUGUGCACACCUAACCCCCCCCCUGCCCCACACGCACGUUUCCAUAAAUAUUGAAGCCAUUGAGAAACCACAGAAUAUCAGUUGGCAGCUGGAAUUUGAGUGGGGGAGAUGAAUCUUAGUAGCCCAGUAGUAGAAGAUCAGAUUUCUAAUAUUAAUUUGUUAUUAAUUGAUUUGUUUGAGUCCAACUUAAGGUGACCUUAUUGUAAGUGCUUAUGUGCUCCUUCAAGUUGACAGCUGACUUAUGGCAAUUCUGUGCAUUUCAUAGGGUUUUCUUCAACCGGGAGGCUGGAUGGCCAUUUGUCAGGAGUACUUUGGUUAUGUGUUUCUACAUAGCAGUGGGAUUGGACAGGAUGGCCCAAUUCUCUAUUUGUGGAAUAAAUUUGAAAGGCAAAAAGAUCUGACAGAAGAAUGAUAGAAUCAGAACACUUUUUUGUGAAUGCAAGCAGGAAAUGAUAAAUGAAGAAUCUUUUUUGUUCUUCUGUACAGUAUCAUUAUUUCAUUUGGAAACUUCUUUCCAGCCUGAGCUGCUGGAACUAUUCAAAAAAACAACAUAACAAUACAGUUCCUGAUCAAUCUGGAACUUCAUGCUACUUCUCAAUCACAGGGGACAAAUCUCCCAUAAACAGCUCAAGGAGGACCGAUCAUGUUCUGUAGUCACAAAAUUUCAAGUAAUUUUCAAAAGAGAAACAGAAAAUAUGGUUUGGGGUUUGAGGUAGAAUGGGUCACCAGAGGAGAAUAUGACUAGCAAAUAGACACUCUCUAUUAGGAGACAAGAAAAGCACAUUUUGGCACAGGUCCAUUUGCAUUCUUGAUCUACUUUAUGUAUAUGAAAAACAUCAGUAUGAUUACACAAAAUUCCAGAUAGCUGAUCAAAUAAGGUUUUACUUUAGACCUUGAGUUUCCAAGUUCAAGGCCCCCAACUCAGAAAGUUUAAUUAAGCAGAAGUCAGUGCAAUUUGCUUCAUUAUUAAGUACUUUCCUUCACUACUUAGAGCUUUUUCUCAAUCAUGAAAGUUCCCUUUACAGCUAUCAGACAGGUUUAGAGCUUAUGAGAAACUUAGUGGGAUUUAGUCUUUUUUAUUUAAAAAAACACAUUUACCUACUGAUAUAAUAGUCAAGCAUGAAUACUUCUAGAGCCCUUAAUCUCAACUCUGAAGAAACUGAACAUUUAUAUCAAUCUUUAAUGAGGUUGAAUAUCUACAAAUCAUAUGAGUAUUCAGAGUAGUUAAAAUGGCAUAUUAUUAUACUAGGGUUGGAGUACCUGUAGCUUUCUAGAUGUUAUUAGGUUCAAACUGCAUAAAAUUAAGAAGGAUGGGAGUUGUAGUUUAAUAUUAACACAUAAGUUUUCUAACCCUUGUUUAGAUCCUUCAACAAGCAGAAAUAAUGAAGGCUGCCAAUGCUAGACUUGGUUCUUAUUUUGUUAGCACUAUCAGGAUAACAAAGGAACCCCAGUGGCUCAGUGUGUUAAAGCGCUGAGCUGCUGAACUUGCAGACCGAAAGGUCCCAGGUUCAAACCCCAGGAGUGGCGUGAGCGGCUGCUGUUAGCUCCUGCCAACCUAGCCGUUCGAAAACAUGCCAAUGUGAGUAGAUCAAUAGGUACCACUUUGCUGUCAGCGCUACGUAGUAAGUUGACUUGAGCACGCUAUUAGAUUUCAGCAUAAUGCAACUGCCCA